GACGAACGCUGGCGGCGUGCUUAACACAUGCAAGUCGAACGGAAAGGCCCUGCUUUUGUGGGGUGCUCGAGUGGCGAACGGGUGAGUAACACGUGAGUAACCUGCCCUUGACUUUGGGAUAACUUCAGGAAACUGGGGCUAAUACCGGAUAGGAGCUCCUGCUGCAUGGUGGGGGUUGGAAAGUUUCGGUGGUUGGGGAUGGACUCGCGGCUUAUCAGGUUGUUGGGGGGGUAGUGGCUUACCAAGGCUUUGACGGGUAGCAGGGCUGGGAGGGUAAGCGGCUACACUGGGACUGGAAUGCGGCACAGCCUCGUACGGGAGGCAGCGGUGCGGAAUAGUGCACAGUGGGCGGAGGCCUAAUGCAGCAACGCAGCGUGCGGGAUGACGGCAAUCGGGUUGUAAACCGAUGUCGCCUGUCACGAAGCGAGAGUGACGGUACUGGGUAAAGAAGCACCGGCUAACUCCGUG
rnacentral:rRNA from 1 species